rnacentral:rRNA from 1 species
UACAGAGGUCCCAAGCGUUGUUCGGAUUCACUGGGCGUAAAGGGUGCGUAGGUGGCGGGGUAAGUCGGAUGUGAAAGCUCGGAGCUCAACUCCGAAAUGGCAUUGGAAACUACCUUGCUCGAGGGUUGGAGGGGGGACUGGAAUGCUUGGUGUAGCAGUGAAAUGCGUAGAUAUCAAGCGGAACACCAGUGGCGAAGGCGAGUCCCUGGACAACUCCUGACACUGAGGCACGAAAGCUAGGGGAGCAAACGGG